UGGACGGCCGCUGAAACGCCGCGGUGGAGGAGAGACCGGGAAGGAAGUCUGGCCGCCCCGCUCGUGGCUCCGCCCCCUAUUCUCCAUGCCCGGAAGGGAGAAUCCUCACUAGACCCGAGGGCACAUGGGAGAGAGUUCCGCCCCCAAAGCGAAAGCGGCCGGGGGAGCGCGCUCAAGGGUAGGCCACGCCUCUCCGCCAGAGUCGUCCGGGCCAAUGAAGGGCCGAAAUUACCGGCUAAGCUCCACCUCCGGAGAAGGAGGACAGUGACGAGACAAGCCCAAAUUGGCAAAUGGCAGCCUUACUGUGCAGUCCAGUGGAAGUAUUCCCAUGUCCUCUGGUGGGAGCAUGCCUCCCUUGGGUAAUAGAACUUGUGAAGAGCCAUGGUCAGAAUCACAGAGACAUGAAGAUCAACAUUUAAGAGUCAGUUAGAUAGGACAGAAUUGCCACUCCAUAUUUACCCUCUCUUCCUGCAUUCCAUCUAUUUUGUUCUACGUGAAAGGCUACUGCACAUUUGCUUACCGGUGCACAAUUUACAGCGCUUCCUGUAGAACUUCAGUCUCGUAAGGUGUUGUCCCUUACUUAUGGCCAUGGAUUGGGCACCUUUUGUGCCCAUUGGUGCACCUUUCUACUCCAGCCUUUGCUGUGGCUACCAGGUGCUUGCAGGUGUGACCUAACAGCCCUUGGCUUCCACUGCUUUCUCCAAGUAUCUUGCUUUCUGCCCCAGGGCUUCUUUCAUGGAAUUCACCUCGUGGGUUGUCUGUGGGAACUUGCACUGUGAUUUUGAUACAUGUGUCAACCUAAAAGUGCCAACUUGAGAGUUCGAAGGAGUUAACCAGCAACUGGGAAACCCUUGACCAAGGACAGGAGCCAGUGCAUAAAUAUUCCCUCUUCCUUCCCUGGUUGGACAAUUAUGAGGCACAUUCUACAGUGCUGCAGAGUAUUUCCAGCAGAAUCGACAUCCACAUGCCCAAAGCAGUGACCUUCUGGAUCAGUCAUCCUUGGAUUGGCUUUCCUGGUUUGCCUGUUUUACCCUUCCUACUCUCUGACUCCUGUUCCUUGGGAUCACUCCUAAAAAUAAACUACCUGUUUGCACGCC